GUUCCUUUUGCUCACGACUUUUUCCCCUUUCUUCAGCCCACACCCUCUGGUGAUGGCAGCCUUGAAGCCUCUGACCCAUCGAUUUGGCCCCAGCGUGAGGGAUAAUGACGAGGCUCGGAAAGUAGGGCUUUGCUGAUAUUCUCAGAGAUUCCCAUCUCAACCCUUCGGAAGAAGGCGCACGGUUGGCGGGGGAGGGCUUCCAAUCAGGAGCGACAUCAAGAUGCUGGGGCCACUGUGGCUGUUGGGAUCAGAUGGCACCUUCCUGGGACUCCCCAGCUCUACGCAGCUCCCUUCCUAAGGGUGCCUUCUCCCCCUCCCCCCUCCCCCAAACAGAGGUGUGCGGAACUGGCCAAAUCCAGGACCGUCUGCCAAGAACAACGCCGACCAACAUCCUUGAGCUCUAGGCACAUUGCCUUUUUUUCCUCGCGUCUUCUGUUGUUGUUUAUUUAUUUAUUUUUGAGAGACAGAAAGAGAGAGAGAAUCCCAAACAGGGCUUGGACUCACAAACCGUGAGAUCACGACCCGCGCUGAAAUCAAUAGCCAGAGGCUCAGCCGACUGAGCCACCCAGGCGCCCCGACCAAUUGCCUUGUCGUAUAGUCAGGCCAGGCGUCAUUCCUCAUUCUCUCUCCCCUAAACCGGGGGCUCUCAACAGUUUCAGUUGUUAUCCCCCGGGGGGAGAGAGUCCCAUUGUCAUCUAGUGUGUAGACACCCGAGAUGCUGCUAACAUCCUGCGGCCCGCGGUGUGACCGUCCCGCACAGAACCAUGUGGUCCACGAUGUCAACGGAACUGUCGUUGAGAAACCCGGCUCCGCACGUUUCCUUCCAAGAGCAAGGGAGACCCCACCUCAGGCCACCGUCUCCACAGGACCCGGAAGAAGUCCGCGUGACGGUUUCCGGCCCAGGUGGAAGAACAAAGAGAAGGCAUUAGGCGAAUUCCUGAAGGAUCUCCUUUCUUCCUCAGCUUCCUGAAGGAGGAAGGAUGGAGACUGAAGAUUGGGCGCAACGAUUUGGGCCCUUUCUGCUCCUGAAGCAGAAGACAGAUUCUUCUCUUCUUCUCCAAGUCUCUGUUCCUCCCUUCCACUUCUCUUAUCAGAGGGGACUUUUUAUGAGGACUGGGGGGUCCGAUGGUCAAUUUGCAACAUGCUAAGGUGGUUGAGUCGGGAUGACUGCUUUCCGAGAAGCCAGACCCAGUCCCUUGAGUUAUCUUGCUUUGUUUAGAACAACGGGGAGCAAGCUCUUCUUUCGCACAAUAGACAUUGGCUGCAGAACAUGCCAGGCAGUAUCCCGGCUUCAGGUGGGAAGGAUUAGACAGAACUGGAAAGACAAAACGUGUUUCUCAGGGAUGCAUGAUCUGCACCAGUCGAGGCUGUAUGAUGCAGCAUUUCCUUUCAAAAUGUGUCACUGACCGUGACCAUCUGGCCCCCCUCCCAGCUGCAGGGAGGGUGUGUCUGUGCCUUCGGCUGUGGCACCUGCUGGAAAUUACUCCGAGAGGGAAACCGUAUUAAUUGCCCUUUGGGACUUCUUGGCCUAUCUUAAAUGAGCUCCAUCGGAAGAGGCAUUUGAUGGACUACGCCCAGCGUUGAGAUAAAUCUGCUCCCUGAGUUCAGGACUAACUAUCCGCAGGGACCCAGUGGACCAAGCAGUGAGAUGAGCAGACGUUAAAUGGUUCCCGUGGCUCUGCGUGAACCACUCCGUGGGUCUCGGGCUCUUCACAAGGCAGGGAAGGGCCUUGGUGGGCCUUGCGGGACUCUGGAGAGCCAACACGUGCGUGAGUCAAUGCUCGCACCCCCGUGGUGGUUUUCCAGUUAUAAAACAGCACAAAAUGUACGGAUUUAUGGUGUUUCCACAACCCAGGGGCGCCGGGCUGUCAAUUCGGGAAUGUUGACUGAGCUGCCCUCUAACCGUGUAACCUGGGGGCCAGACUUUUCCUCCCUGGGCAUGUUACAAAGAUUAAAUGAGGUCUGACA